CAGGUUGCCGCAAGGCCUCCUGGGUAACCUACCACCCUUUGUUUAUUACACUUUGUUGCUUUGGCAAGCCUGCCCUCGGGCUGCUGGCUCCGGCCGGCGAGCGCUUGCCAGAGGACCUAAACUCUGUUUGUCUAUACUGUCUGAGUACUAUAUAAUAGUUAAAACUUUCAACAACGGAUCUCUUGGUUCUGGCAUCGAUGAAGAACGCAGCGAAAUGCGAUAAGUAAUGUGAAUUGCAGAAUUCAGUGAAUCAUCGAAUCUUUGAACGCACAUUGCGCCCCCUGGUAUUCCGGGGGGCAUGCCUGUCCGAGCGUCAUUACAACCCUCAAGCUCAGCUUGGUAUUGGGCCCCGCCGACCCGGCGGGCCCUAAAGUCAGUGGCGGUGCCGUCCGGCUCCGAGCGUAGUAAUUCUUCUCGCUCUGGAGGUCCGGUCGUGUGCUCGCCAGCAACCCCCAAUUUUUUUCAGGUUGACCUCGGAUCAGGUAGGGAUACCCGCUGAACUUAAGCAUAUCAAUAAGCGGA
rnacentral:rRNA from 1 species